UUUUAGAGGGAGCUUUGAUCCUUAGUGUGGCUUCAGAGGCAUUUUGAGACACCCAUCUUUCUCUUUUAGGAUUAGAGCCUUUGUGUUUGUCUUUUGGCCUGAGUGAGUUCACAUCUCACUAGUGUCCCUAUGGGGGUCUCCUUGGUUCUUCGGUAGAGUUCACUUCAUUCCACUCACUAUUCACACUUACCUUUCACUUCAGUGUUCAUAUUCUUUACACUCGUGAACUC
rnacentral:lncRNA from 1 species